rnacentral:rRNA from 1 species
GAAGAAAGAGGGAGGCGUGCUUAACACAUGCAAGUCGAACGGUGAACCUCUUCGGAGGGGAUCAGUGGCGAACGGGUGAGUAACACGUGGGCAACCUGCCCCCGGCUCUGGGAUAACUCCAAGAAAUUGGGGCUAAUACCGGAUGUUCACCGCUUCCCGCAUGGGUGGUGGUGGAAAGGGUUUCCGGCUGGGGAUGGGCCCGCGGCCUAUCAGCUUGUUGGUGGGGUAGUGGCCUACCAAGGCGACGACGGGUAGCCGGCCUGAGAGGGUGACCGGCCACACUGGGACUGAGACACGGCCCAGACUCCUACGGGAGGCAGCAGUGGGGAAUAUUGCGCAAUGGGCGGAAGCCUGACGCAGCGACGCCGCGUGGGGGAUGACGGCCUUCGGGUUGUAAACCUCUUUCAGCAGGGACGAAGCGCAAGUGACGGUACCUGCAGAAGAAGCACCGGCCAACUACGUG